AAAGCCCCAAACUCCUUCCUCACUCGAGGAAGGGGUUUGGGACUUUGGCCAGGUGGAAAGCAGCGUUUCUCUCCUUCCCAAAGCCCCAAACUCCUUCAUCGCUUGAAGAAGCAGUGUUAAAACGAAGAUAAUCCGGGUAAGGCAACUCACCACCUAUUUUAAUUCUAAUAAUUGGCACAGCACUCUCCCCCAUUUACUAUUGUAUUUAUAACAUAUGUACAUUAAUUGCAACAAUGUCACAUCAACUUUUUGGCCACUUGUUGAACUCCCUCUCUUUUUCUCUUCCUCAAGUACCCACCCGCUUACAUAAAUCAAUACACCUUUUACUAUCCACUUGGAAAUGCCGAUGACCCCUCAAGUUUUUCCUCAAGGUGGUAUGUUGAAUCAUAGCCUGGAGGGGAAAUGUACACGCUUCUCACUGGGUUGCACAUUCUGCAACAUCCAAGAUCUAUGGUCUUUCCUACAAAGAACAUUCCCGAUGUUCAAAGUAGUGCAGCAUUUGGCAGAGUGUUUUUAAAUCUCUCUCUUCAGGGCAUAGCACAUUCUGUGCAUGUACAUUGCUCUCAUUGGCCUUAAAAGAAGUUUAAUGCAUACAUCAAAGGGAGGAUUUACCCCAUCCAGAGACCCGAUGGGCAAAGACAACAGCAGCAAGCUCAGUAGUUACAGCUUUUGAGCCAGCAGUGUGGCAGAGUUCAAAGCAGCAGUUCACUUUUUCAGCAGCUACGUAUGUCUGUAUGUUUUAAAUAUAGGUCACUGUUUAAACACUAGCUGUCCUAGAAACCAAAUGACAGGUUCUCCUUUUAAGAAGAAACGUUGGGGAAACAAAUGAGGAGGCAAUUAAGAGGGCUACAGUGAUGCAAAGAAGAACAAGUUUCUAAGAGAGAUCUUUGGCAGAUUUACUUUGUCUUGCAGAGGUGAAAAGCAUUGCUACUAGGGACAUUCUGUAGGACCAUGUUGAAUGUUGAAGCCUAGAUUUUGUUUGCAUGUGGCCACGCCACAGGAAGAGAGGGCUGAAAGAAAAUUGCUACAGGAGAAAUGUGCAUCAACAGCAGAAACAUAUAUAAGUAUGAUUUGGAAGGAUAAAAAGGACAUCUGGUUGAAGUUGACCACAGAGUUUCCCUGGAGGAUCAGAUGUUUCCUAUAAAGAAAACUCUCUAGAGGAGGUGCUCUUUUUCCCCUCUGCAAACCUUCAAGAUUGUGGCAAGACAUGAGAGAAAGUUGCUGUUUUAAGAAAGACUGUAGAGCCUGGGGUCAGAGGUCUUUUGUGUUUGAGGCUGCAUCUGCACAAGUCAGAAAUUGUGAUGCUGAACCAGAGUAUGGUACUCUAGAUUAGCAUUGCUAUGGCCUGCAUGACCGAACCAGCACCUGUCAUCCCAUCCUUCUCCAAUUGCCUCAUCACUCAGCCACUUCUGUUCUUUCUUUGGAUUACUGCAAUGUACUCUACGUGGGACUGCCUUUGAAGAUAGCCUGGAAGCUCCAAUUAGUACAACAUCGGCGGCCAGGUUGUUAACAGGAGCGAAUUAUAGGGAGCGGACAACCCCCCUAUUAAAACAGCUCCACUAGCUGUUAAUAAGUUUCUGGUCCCAGUUCAAGGUGCUGGUUAUCACCUCUAAAGUCCUAAAAGGUUUGGGUCCAGCUGAUCUUUGCCAUCACAUUUUCUACUACGAACCUCUGCAAACUUAAAGAUCUUGUUCCCUCUGCCAUCUCAAACACAGUUGGUGGGGACAAGGGAGAGGGCCUUCUCAGUGAUGGCCUCCCAGCUCUGGAUAGUCCCUCUCGAGAAAAAUCAGAUUAGCCCCCACCUUGGCCACAUUCCAGAAAGACCGGAAAACCUGGUUAUUCCAAUGUCCUUUUGACUAAUUUGGCACAACGGAGUCCUUUUACCUCCACCUAUACCCAGCCUCUGCACUUUAUUAUUGGCCCAUCUUACCAAUUACCUUGCAAUAGAUUGUACAUGUAUAAUUAUUGCCUUGCCUCCAUUUUUUGAACAUGCCCAUUGCGCUGGAUAUUGGUUAUUGGUUGUUGUUGGGUUUAUGUUUCUAUGAUGUUUUAUAUGUUUUAUGUAUCAAUGCAUUGUAAUUGAAAUGUAUUUUAAGUUGAUAUAUUUUAUUGUUGCAUUACGGGGCUUAGUCCCCAUGUAAGCCGCCCUGAGUCCCUUCGGGGAGAUGGGGUGGGAUAUAAGAAUAAAAUUUCACUAAAUUA